AAUGAAGGCGGCCAAUGGACGCGAGGGGGAGUGUCAGGCUGUCGGGGCGUGGCUUCUACUCCGGAGGCGUGGCUUCGGCUCCAGACGUUCAGCAGACCGGGAGAGCGGUGGGGGCGAGACUCAAGGAAGGAGCGCUUCUGGCCAUAGAUGUCCACGUUCCGGAUCCCGGCGUGGGAGCGUGUAGCCUGGAGAGGCGCAGGAGUCCCUCCUGGUGACUCCAACCGAGCCUGAGGCCUGGCUGUCUCUGCUAGGUCAUGUCACCACUGUUGCUAACUCGACUCUACCGAACUGGACUGCUGGUGUGUCCACGAGGUGUUUGCCAGUGGAUAGAGCUUACUGCCCACCUGCAAACUGAAUCGCUGAUUUCCAGGCAAGACAGACAGGAGUUGCUCCAAAGAACCUUUCUAAACAGGUCCACUUCCCCUAUAUCCUUUCUUUUCCACUACCUCUGGUGGGUGGUGGGCUACAAGGGAAGUUAAAGCAUUUAAGAAUCAUCAUUAAAGGGCUGGAGAGAUGGCUCAGCAGUUAAGAGCACUGACUGCUCUUCCAGAGGUCCUGAGUUCAAAUCCCAGCAACCACAUGGAGGCUCACAACUAUCUGUAAUGGGAUCUGAUGCCCUCUUUUGGUGUGUCUGAAGAUGGCUACACUGUACUCAUAUCCACUAAAUAAAUAAAUCUUUAAAAAAAAAAUAAAUAAAUAAAAAUAAAAAUAGACACUGAAAAACAUUAAA